CCUACGGGAGGCAGCAGCAAGGAAUUUUGGGCAAUGGGCGCAAGCCUGACCCAGCGACGCCGCGUGGGGGAAGACGGCUUUCGGGUUGUAAACCCCUUUUCUCAGGGAAGAAUAAUGACGGUACCUGAGGAAUAAGUCUCGGCUAACUACGUGCCAGCAGCCGCGGUAAUACGUAGGAGGCAAGCGUUAUCCGGAUUUACUGGGCGUAAAGCGGGCGCAGGCGGUCUGGCAAGUCGGAUGUGAAAUCUCCCGGCUUAACUGGGAGCGGUCAUUCGAUACUGUUAGGCUUGAGGGCAGCAAAGGGAGGUGGAAUUCCCGGUGUAGUGGUGAAAUGCGUAGAUAUCGGGAGGAACACCAGUGGCGAAAGCGGCCUCCUGGGCUGUUGCUGACGCUGAGGCCCGAAAGCGUGGGGAGCGAACAGGAUUAGAUACCCUGGUAGUCCACGCUGUAAACGUUGGACACUAGGUAUGGGGAGUAUCGACCCUCUCCGUGCCGAAGCUAACGCGUUAAGUGUCCCGCCUGGGGACUACGACCGCAAGGUUAAAACUCAAAGGAAUUGACGG
rnacentral:rRNA from 1 species